ACCUGCAAGUCGACGGGCGGGGGAACUCUGUCAGUGGCGGACGGGUGAGUAACGCGUAGGUAUCUAUCCUUGGGUGGGGGACAACUGUGGGAAACUACAGCUAAUACCGCAUGAUGACCCGAGGUCCAAAGCUCGCGAGAGCGCCUGGGGAGGAGCCUGCGUACGAUUAGCUUGUUGGUGGGGUAAAGGCCUACCAAGGCGACGAUCGUUAGCUGGUCUGAGAGGAUGAUCAGCCACAUUGGGACUGAGACACGGCCCAAACUCCUACGGGAGGCAGCAGUGGGGAAUAUUGGACAAUGGGCGCAAGCCUGAUCCAGCAAUGCCGCGUGUGUGAAGAAGGUCUUCGGUUGUAAAGCACUUUCGACGGGGACGAUGAUGACGGUACCCGUAGAAGAAGCCCCGGUUAACUUCGUGCCAGCAGCCGCGGUAAU
rnacentral:rRNA from 1 species